GUGGUUCCUGCUCGUCCAGCCGGUUCGACCCAUGCGCCUCUAGCCCCUGCGUGGGCGGCUCGACUUGUGAGUCGCUGCCUCGGGGUGGCUUCUUCUGCAACUGCAGCCGCGGGGCCGCCUGCGACACGGAGGGCAGCGCGUUCGUGGCAGCGCUCGACGGCAGUUCUUCGCUGGAGCUGGCGUGGCCCGAGGGCGCUGGAGCGGCGCUGUCCCUCGAGUUAUGGUUCCUCGCAGAGCAGCCGGACGGCGUGCUUCUGUCUGCUGGAGGGGGAGGACGAGGUGGAGGCGGAGACUUCCUGUGGUUGGCGCUCGUCGGCGGCCGCCUUCAGCUGCGCUUCAACCUGGGCAGCGGCGCCGCCACCGUCACGUCCCCGCAGAGGGCAGAGCUCGGCCGCUGGCAGCGCGCUCUGGUGAGUCGCGCAGGGCGCAGGGCGUGGCUGCGGCUGGGCGAGGAGGAAGGGCUGCUGGCCGCGGGG